rnacentral:hammerhead_ribozyme from 1 species
AUCCAGUAGACGAAUCUCAAAUAGGACGAAACGUGUGUCAAACUGGAU